rnacentral:misc_RNA from 1 species
UCCUGGUUAACCCAGGCAGUCUCGUUAAAGUGCCCGCCAUUACGCGCUGGCAACUAACGACAAGGGUUGCGCUCGUUGCGGGACUUAACCCAACACCUCACGGCACGAGCUGACGACAGCCAUGCAGCACCUGUGCAACUGUCUCUUGCGAGAAGACGUCAUCUCUGACGCUGUCAAUUGCAUGUCAAGACCAGGUAAGGUUCUUCGCGUUGCAUCGAAUUAAACCACAUGCUCCACUGCUUGUGCGGGUCCCCGUCAAUUCUUUUGAGUUUCACCCUUGCGAGUGUACUUCCCAGGCGGUAUACUUAUCGCGUUAGCUACGGCACAGUUGGGGUUGAGUCCAACUACGCCAAGUAUACAUCGUUUAAGGCUAGGACUAC